rnacentral:rRNA from 1 species
GAUGAACGCUGGCGGCGUGCCUAAUACAUGCAAGUCGAGCGAACGGACGAGAAGCUUGCUUCUCUGAUGUUAGCGGCGGACGGGUGAGUAACACGUGGAUAACCUACCUAUAAGACUGGGAUAACUUCGGAAAACCGGAGCUAAUACCGGAUAAUAUUUUGAACCGCAUGGUUCAAAAGUGAAAGACGGUCUUGCUGUCACUUAUAGAUGGAUCCGCGCUGCAUUAGCUAGUUGGUAAGGUAACGGCUUACCAAGGCAACGAUGCAUAGCCGACCUGAGAGGGUGAUCGGCCACACUGGAACUGAGACACGGCCCAGACUCCUACGGGAGGCAGCAGUAGGGAAUCUUCCGCAAUGGGCGAAAGCCUGACGGAGCAACGCCGCGUGAGUGAUGAAGGUCUUCGGAUCGUAAAACUCUGUUAUUAGGGAAGAACAUAUGUGUAAGUAACUGUGCACAUCUUGACGGUACCUAAUCAGAAAGCCACGGCUAACUACGUG